UAUGUCCCAUCUAGAAGCUCUUCUGAAAUGAAUGGCAUUAUUACAACAACGUAUAUAAUCUUGUUGAAUUUCUGUUUCUCAUAGGCACCAGGAAUCUUUCAACUUUGUAAGCUCAAUUACCUUAUAGGAACGCUUGUUUUUCUUCCUUACAGUAUCCACUUGUUACCUGUUACUUCUGUAAGAUCCAAGAUUAACUCGUCUUUCCUUUCAGAUUUGAGUACACAUUUGUUUUUUUUUUCCUUAGGUAGAACUGGUAAGCAAUAUAUAAAUAAGAUACUUUCUAAAGCUGAAUAUUACUCAAGAAAACAAUGCAAGUUUUCCCAAGUUAAGAUGUCUUUCCCCAUACCCUCUUACAAAAGUUGUGUCAUCUCUACUUAAUUAGCAUUGACGUGAUAUCAGCUGACAGUUGUACAGGCUGUUCAGAGACCUUUGUGUUGCAAUGUGGUGUUCCUUUUCACUGUGGGAUGAUUAGAUUGCUCUGCAGUACUGGACUCCAUCAUAACACAUUAAAAGUUAACCCAUUCAUCUUCUUGAAAGAAUAGGUGCUGCCAGAUAGAAACCUUUCUUCCCAGAAUGUUUGUAGCUUGAAUAAUUGGGUAAAUUGUAAUCAUUUCAGAUUUCCUGGAUAAAAAAAUUCUUAGGCAAUAGUUAGAAACUUCCGUAUAUAAAUUGAGUGUGCAGCAAGAAUAGAAAGGAGAGAAGAACAUUAAAGAAAGAUUAGAAUCCACUUCUCUUUGUGCUGAAGAUACUUCAAGUUCUUAUUAAGGUAGAGAAAUCAUCAGAAAAUUACAAGACAACUUACUGUUGAGUCAAGUAUCCUAAAAAGUACUGUGCUUUCAAACAGAUAGAGUUUAUUUUUUUUCUCCUACUCUAAACAGUUGAUGAAUUCCUUCCAAUUAAAUGUACAUUUCAGAGUGGGAACAUUCCUGUGGCUUUGUGAAAGCCAGCCAAACAGAAGGUGAUUCAUAGUAAGGUUCUCCUUUGUGGGGAUCCUGAAUUAAUCAAAAUAUUUAUGGAGAAAAUAUUGCAGGUGUACAACAUCUCAAAAUAACUGCUUUUUUCAAAUUCUUUUUAGGACUUGCUAUUUUUAUUCUCCUAGUUCUGCACAUGCGUUGUAUGUGAAGUUAUACUGCUAUAUGAUAGGAAUGUAAACAUAAUUUUCUUCCUCUAUAUUGUGUAAUAAGUCUUCAAGUUUUUUUUUUUUAGUUUGGAAAAUUAAAGUAGAUUAGUCAGUAACUAAUUAUUUAUUAAACAGAAUUGUUGGCGGUGCAAGUUAUUUUGGAAUUUUGCAUCUCUGUGCUGGCUUAUCUCAUACUAACUGUGAGCUAUUCCCCGUUAUAUUAAGAGCACAGUGUGGCCUCUUUGCCAUCCUUUUUUCACAUUCAGCUUUGACAUGACUCUCAUCUCUGUCGUGAUAAUGAUCAUCUCAGAAAAAUGGCAGAAAAAGAAAAGAGAAGUCCACAUUUGAGCUUACUUUGAAGAAGACAUGACUUCUUACAGUUUCUUUUUGCAGCUGUGGGAAAGAGCACUGAAAGUCGGCUCUGAACUUUUUCUGAAAGCAGGCAGAAUUCUGCUCAUUCUCAUGUACUAUGGGAAAAAAGAAGUUCAAAGAUGUGCAACUUGGAGCCAUAUUUCCUGUUCUUCUUUCUUUAGUUUCUCAAGAUUGUGGCUGCUGAGGCAAGCACACAUCACAAAAAACACUGCUGAGAUACCUUUGGCUGUUUCUGGGGAGCAUCAUGUGAGCUAAUAAACUGGCCUUCCAGUUUGUCUGAAAUCAGUAAAAUGAAUGAUGUGUUAAGAAAAUAUGUUCUUGGUGACUGCUGUAGAGAGGUAGCUGUAUUCUGGUGGGUGUGAAGCUUACCUUACUGCUGAGGUGUUUGUGUUUAAGGUAGUCCAAAGGAAUGAUACAGAGAAGGAAGUUGCAAGGUCAGGGGAUUUGAUCAGAACAUCCAAUCGAUCUGCAUUCUGCUUCGAUAUGACUACAGUAUACCUCUGUUUCACAAGGCUAAGCCUACAGCCUUAUGCCACCCAGAAGCUUUGUCCCAGUUGUCAGACCUAUCCUCAGAUCAUCAUCCUACCAAGUGACCUCUUUUGUGGAUGGAAGUAAGUGGACUAGAGAGCCUCUGAUGAAAGCAACAGCUGAGGAAGUGCUAUACUAAGAAAUCAGUUCUGCCUCUGUGGUGGUGAUAGUCUCUGUGAAGUUUGCUCAGUGCCAACAGUGAAUUAACACAGACCUAAUGAAUAAUUAAAGGACCUGAAUUCAUAACUGUUGUGAAUGCUUCACUGCUUAAAGCACUUUUUCAUUAAGGUUGAUUUUUACUCAAGAUCUCCACCUUAUCCUCUGAAUCCCUGAGAAUGAUGUGUUUGAUUAUGUCUCUCUGUACUAGUCAGAAAAUAUUCAGGCUUAGAUUUCAUCCACAACUCAACAUAAUGGUCUUCAGUAUAAACAGAGAUUAAGUUAAUUAGUUUAGAGAUCUGUUGUAGGUCUAGCCUUUCUUUAGCCCUUUUUCUUACAUCUCUUUACCUGACUUGUUCUCUUCCUGUUUAUUGUACCCUUGCAAGAAAGAGCACAACUCUUUGUGUUUAUUGUCCCUAUCAGUUUAAAUUACAGAUUUGACCUGACAUUAAACUGUUCCUUUUUUUUUGUACUGGAGGGAAAAAAAAUCUGAAACACCAUGUCAUAUGAUGAUAUCCUUCACUUUCGUUGAACCAUCUGGAGUUCUGGAGACAGAGCUGCAAACUGUCAACAUCUCCUGAUGGAAAGCAAAUAGAGUUGGCAAAAAGGGAAGUUUAAGCUGGAGAAUCAUCCUGUAUAAAGUUUAGAGCAGUUCAAUGCUGGAGGAAGGAAAUCAUUAUCUGUCAAAGAACUUCAUCCUGCCCCAAAGCCAUAGCACUAGGACAUUGCUAAUGCUGUUCCCUUGAAGAUUAUGCUCACAUGCUAGAUUUCAGUGGAAAACAGAGUUUGCGUUUAAUAUUUGGAAAGCUUUUGUUCCAAACAAGAGAAAGAGGUCUAAUCUUCCAUAUCUAAACUCCCUUAAUUGAAGGAAAUGAGGAGGACUAGCUGCUGCAUCUAUCACUCCCUUCACUAAUAAAACUGAUACACAUUUGACUUUAUAUUAUGCAUAAAACAAGUCAAUGCUGGGUUACUGAGCUGUACAUAACAAUAGUUACAUUGAUGACUGUGGAU